rnacentral:misc_RNA from 1 species
GAUGAAGAACGUAGCGAAAUGCGAUAAGUAAUGUGAAUUGCAGAAUUCAGUGAAUCAUCGAAUCUUUGAACGCACAUUGCGCCCGCCAGUAUUCUGGCGGGCAUGCCUGUCUGAGCGUCAUUUCAACCCUCAUGCCCCUAGGGCGUGGUGUUGGGGAUCGGCCAAAGCCCGCGAGGGACGGCCGGCCCCUAAAUCUAGUGGCAGACCCGUCGUGGCCUCCUCUGCGAAGUAGUGAUAUUCCGCAUCGGAGAGCGACGAGCCCCUGCCGUUAAACCCCCAACUUUCCAAGGUUGACCUCAGAUCAGGUAGGAAUACCCGCUGAACUUAAGCAUAUCAAUAAGCGGAGGA